GAUUCUCAAUGAGCAAGAGAAGAUGAGGGAAGGUGCUAGAAGCCAGGCCCAGGAAGGUUCCUCAGGUUAAUUCUCACGUAGCAGGCUGCGGAUCCUCAGCAGGUUUUUCUCCUGUGCCGACAGCUUCCUUGGGUCUGGAUAGACAGACAACUCAUCACUGGCUGUUCCCGCAGACUGGCUCCGGGCCUGGCCCAAUUGCUUCUCAAGCUCUUGAACCUGAGGAUGGUAAAACUCGUCGUUCCACAAUGGGUCUUCUGCCAGCCUCUUCUACUCAGAAGUGUGAUAGGAGACCCCACAGACUGAAGAUGGAACCACCUCUCUAGAUGGCUGUGGUAGCCCCAUCUGAGGAGGACUAGGGGUGGGGGACAAUCUGAGCUGGCAUCUUGAGCAACACAUUGGAAGACACCAGGAAAGUUCAGCUUAGAAAAAUGGUGUGAAGAUGAAGACAUAGGAAGAUGAAGGGGUUUGCCCAAGGUCAGAGUUGGCAGACCGGUGGCCAAACGUAAACUCAGGUCUCUUGAACCCCAAGGCCAUGCACUAUCAUCUAUUAGCUUCUUGGAGUUUUUCCCCCUUUAUAUUGGCUUCAAGGAUCCCAUGGGAGACACUGAAGAUAAAAGC
rnacentral:lncRNA from 1 species